rnacentral:misc_RNA from 1 species
AAAAGUCGUAACAAGGUUUCCGUAGGUGAACCUGCGGAAGGAUCAUUAUCAAAAGUCAAGUCGGGGGCUGUAAAGCUCUCGUCUACACCCCAUGUCUUUUGCGUACUCUUGUUUCCUCGGUGGCGCAAGCUGCCGAUUGGACAAACCAAAACCUUUGUAACCAUGUGGAUUAUCUGAGUGGCGAAAGCACAAAUACAAUCAAAACUUUCAACAACGGAUCUCUUGGCUCUG